UUGGCAGAGAGAAUCUAACACAUACACAGAGGAGAUGGAGCAUAAAAUUGGGCGGACUGACUCAGAGGCGAUGUACAAAUGAAAGCGCGCUUUCUAAAUUUCCAAAGCACUAAAGGGAGAGAAAUGCGCAAUUACUGUGGGAUUCGCCCAGAGGAGCAGCCUCAGGAGUUGAAGGGGAUCCUGUCCCUCCCAGAGGAAAGCUCACGAUUGGAUUGGAACUUCUAGCGACUGCCUGAGGCGCGUCCUCCGGGUCAUGGGGAAACAGAGGCAGAGACUUGGGAAGGAGAAAUGGAGAAACCAGGGCAACGUGGUCAGUGCUGCAGCGCCAUCCCUUUUUCACUAAGACCACCCUGGGCCCCUGGGCGGGAAGCCCUUCGCACACUCCAGCCGGGGAGAGUCCGGGCUGGGUUCCGCAGCGCCUGUGGCUGUGUGGCCGGGAGGCUCCUUGCUCUCGCCCGCGUGGUCCUGAGAUCGGUCGCUCGUUCCCACAGGCCCCGGGAUUGGCUGCACCACGCAGCUGUUGUCCAGUUCCGGAGCUGCCGCGUUCAAUCCGAGUCCCUCCGAUGCUUUCACUGAUAUUAAAAUUUCACUUUUCGAACUGGCCUUUUAUUUAUUUUUUUUUACGCAGUCGUUUUUGGGAGGCAACAACUCGGACAUCCUGUAUCCGUAAUCAGAUAAUCUCACUCCUGCUUUUGUAUUCCUGCAGCUUUAAACUCUGCAAAUAUUUGUGUCCUUCACAAAAAAAGGCGUUCCUCAGUCUACCUCCAACCUCGCCGGGCAACUUAUCUUUCCCAAGUUCACAGCCUGACUCCGGAUCUCUUGGUCUCUUGUGAUCUUGCAGCAAUUCAGCAGAAAAGACUCGGUUUGGGUUUUGGUUUGUGAUGGCUAAUAAUGGGGGUUUUACCCCCCUGAUGUUUGGGGGAUUUGUGCUUGUUUUAUGAUUACUAUUUUUCUUGUUUCCUGCAGUCAAGGAAAACUGUCUGUGUUACAAGCAAACUUACUGUCCCCUGCCUCAGGGACGUGAGUUCCAGUCCUGGACACUUUACUUUCUCUCUCUCCGGUCUUCCCUGGCCCACGAUGUUUUUCACACUAUUGUCUGCUCCAGCCCGUUGAAAGUGCAAAGUGAAAACAGAUGCAUCCAAAAAAUUUUUUUUGAAAGGGACAAUCCUAGGAUGGAGACUAACCCCUCGAAUACAGAUAAGCAAUAAAUAUUGUAUCAGAUUUAUAACGUGCAUCGAGCAGUCUUGAUUAGCACCAAGGUGAGCUUUGGUGAGAUUUUUAUCAUUUCCAUGUGUCUGGACUACAAGAAGAAAUCACUGGGGGAAGAGCUCUAUAAAUCAGCGUCCAUGUCAAGACAAAUCAAAAUAAUGCCUCUAUUAUUUCAAUCAAUAAACCAUUUUUAUUCCCAACAUCUGAUACACACAGUGUGUGUCCGUCUGUUUGUAUUUGGAAUUGGCAGCCUUGCCUUAUACCAAAACAAACCUUUCAAGACGUGUCAAUGAAAUUAAAAUUUUUAAAAGGAGAAUUCAAUGUGACCCUCCUUCCCUUUCGAGCUACUCCAUUCUCCCCUUUUUAAGCCGCACACCCCAAGUCAGUAGGAGAGCUUUGCAACUCUGCAAAGGAUGAAAUUGCUUUGAGAAUUUCAGAGAAAAGGGGUGGCGGGUGCUAUUAGGGAAGAGAAACCGAAAGCGGCGACAGGCAACGACUGGGACUGAGGAAAGCCUCCCUGGCUCCUGGCUCCAAGAUAUUCCAGAGGACGGUCCUAGGGCGGUCUCAGGAGGGUGUGACAGGGUGCUCCCGCGCUCUGCUAAAAACCAAAACCACCACCUCCCACCACUGCCACCAAGAUUUUUCCAGCAGGUGUAAGGCUGACUGGCUGUAGGGCGUUAAUUGGGGCGAGGCUAGCUGGAGAAAGAUGGGGGGCGGGGGCGGGAGACGAGGAAGAGUGGGGGAGAGGAGGGAAGAAAGGGAGAGAGAGAGAGCGACUGACUCUGGUUGACUGGCGGGUGGCUUUUGUUAGUUUCAGGCAGAUUUCAAGACUUGUUUCUCAAAAUGUCCUGCAAUUUUGGCUUCCGCGGCAGUUUGUGAGAUGGGGCCACAAUUCUUGAUUGAUGAUAGGAAAGUAGAGAAGGAGAGAUGAUUCGUCUAUGAGUCAACAUUGUCGAUAGCUAGAGUCUUGGUAUUCCCAUAGCUUCCUUGGUUAUUUUGUUUCCAAAUUUGCACACCCAGGAACCAAAUCUCAAUGAUCCUUUUGUUGCUGAAGGUUCAUCCUCUCCUGUUCCAUCUGUCCGCCAUAAACACAUAAUUCUGACUGCCCCAUUCCUAAUCCAUUUCUUUCCUUUGGAAUGGGAAGAAGGAAAUGAAAAGUACUCCCAGAUGGAAACCGAAACGGCGUCAGAUCCAGAAUAGUCUUUGUUUGGAUUCAACAGCUGUCUGCCCACCACGCCCUCAGUCCCCAAGUCCAAAGCGCAUCCUCGGGGUUUCAUUUGAGAAAGGGAGAAAAAAGAAACACUUCAAAAUCUGUAUUUUUACAAGCAGGAUUUCACAAUCCUUGGGAACUUUGAGACUUGAAUGGUUAAUCUCUCAGACGAAAUUAUCACCCCAACGACUGUUCACAGAUUAGUCGAUGCAAAUGUUAAAAACGUGUUGGCAAGCUGGAUGAGCAGGCAAACGCACAUAAGGGUCCCCAGAUGCAGCGAAUGAACAGGUUUUCCUCGUAAAAAUGAUGGAGGUGAAGGUGGGGAUGGGGGUGCUCUCCUCACUCCGGAAUCUGAAGCGGGAGAGAGCUGGAUAAACCGCCGAGAUGACCUAAGUGGUCUGAGGCGACCAGCAGCGCGUCCACAGUGGAGGACCCAGGCCUCGGCUCAGACAUGGCCUGCUCCGCUCUUUCCCUAGGCUCCUCUGCAACAUCAGGCAACCAAGGCCUGCGCUCUCCUUUUCCUGAGGAGACUCCCUGGAACCUUCAAGAACCCCCCGACAGCCACCAGGAUACCCGGUCUGAAUGGUUUCCUACCAAGAAAGACCCCGAAGACCUGCAGUUCUGUCCAGAAACGAGUUUUUAGGGUCACUUGAAUUUGAGCUGCUGCGAGGGCGGUGCUUUAGGGAGCAGAGUUCAAAGAGGAAUUCCUCAGGACCCUAGGCCAGGUCCGCGUUAAAGGGCGCCUUACAAACCUCCUCUCCCCACACUCCCCCGCAGCCCCUUCCCCAACGUUUAAGGCACCGGAUCUUGAGAAGCAAAUCUAGUGCCCAGCUUCAAAUCCCCGCCUUGGAAAAGUACAAAGAGAAAACUGAUUUUUCAAAUCCCAAAGCCCUUUCCUUUUAAGCAACUUGGAAAAACUCAGCUAUAAACGCUUUCUCCUCUUAUGCUAAAAUUGAAAACUUAUAGAUUUUAGAUGGAAUGAAGAGAAGAUAUAUUCCUUUUCCCUUUAAAUAGCCACAUUUCAAAUUGUGCCAGGCAGCAAUUUCUGCGAAAAAGGAGUGGCGGUUGGGAUUGUUUGGGAGAUGGAGUUUUAUUUGUUCCCAUUUAUUUUGUUUUAUUUUUGUUUUAUUUUUUUCUUUGAGUUUCUUUGUUAUUUUGAGAUUCAUCUAAGAGACUCAGAAUUCCACUCUGAAUAAAGCACUUUUUGUUGUUUCAAAAUUUCAAACUGACAUAAGUGUUGGAUCAUCAGUUUUCCCUUUGUCUGCCCUAGUUGUAAAUAAUGGCUUUGAGAUUAGCUAAUUAAGGGGCAUUAAUCACUGAUAGAAAGGGAAUAAAUCAAAGCCUUGUUCUAAAUUUCAAACUUGCCUGUAUAGAUGUGCAUAGCUACUCUAUCUGGAGCAGAUAGGUGCUGUUUGAAUUACUGUUCUUCAGAGUAAACCAAAUCCACUUCGCUUUUAAAAAAUGAAUAUUGUAUUUAUACAGCCUGG
rnacentral:lncRNA from 10 species